GGAAUAUUGCGCAAUGGGCGAAAGCCUGACGCAGCGACGCCGCGUGGGUGACGAAGGCCUUCGGGUCGUAAAGCCCUUUUCUGCGUGACGAGAGAGGACGGUAGCGCAGGAACAAGUCUCGGCUAACUACGUGCCAGCAGCCGCGGUAAAACGUAGGAGGCGAGCGUUAUCCGGAGUUACUGGGCGUAAAGAGCGUGUAGGCGGGUAGGGAAGUGGGGCGUGAAAGCUCCCGGCUAAACGGGGAGAGUGCGCUGAAGACUGCGUAUCUAGAGGCGAGUAGAGGGACGUGGAAUUCCGGGUGUAGUGGUGAAAUGCGUAGAGAUCCGGAGGAACACCAGUGGCGAAGGCGACGUCCUGGGCUUGACCUGACGCUGAGACGCGACAGCACGGGGAGCGA
rnacentral:rRNA from 1 species